GACGAACGCUGGCGGCAUGCCUAACACAUGCAAGUCGAACGGUGACUUCGCGUCUAGUGGCGCGCGGGUGCGUGAGGGGCGAACACCUGCGUAAAGGUUCGGUAUACCUCCCCGUACGGGGUGCUAACACCGGGAAAUGUCUUCGAAUCCAGGAUUUAUCGCCUUUGGCUGGGGACGGGUUGGGGUAGGUAGUUGGUAGGGUAAAAGCCGACCAAGGCGACGAUCCAUAGCUGGACUGAGAGGAUGCUCAGCCACACUGGGACUGAGACACGGCCCAGACUCCUACGGGAGGCAGCAGUGGGGAAUAGUGGACGAUGGGCGAAAGGCUGAUCCAGCAAUGCCGCGUGGGGGAUGAAGGCCUUAGGGGUGGAAAGCCCGCUUACCUGGGAUGAGAAUGACAGGACCGGGAGAAUAAGGUCCGGCUAACCCCGUG
rnacentral:rRNA from 1 species